UUAGAACUGCUGCAGAACGGGCAAUAGAUAGAAUUGAAAACACACCCAUCUUCUUCGCACCAAACCCCUCGCCCUGGAUUAUCUUUAAGAGUAAUAUUGUAAAGACGCUGAUCUACUGAUGCAAUAUCAGCCAUGAGAACAGGAAGACCCAAUGGACUUUUGCAGAGUGAACAAGAAAUUUGUAAUUUCUGAUCCAUGACAGGAUCAGAAUUGAUGCUUGAUGGAGCACAAUUAUUUGUUGGGAGGACUCGUGGCGCUUUUGAUUCCAUGGACUGGUGUUCUGCAGAGUCAGUCGCCAAAUCAAAUUCAAUCCUGCGAUUUGCAUCUUUACUGGCCAUUGUAUCAGUUGUGGAUCUAAAACAGCCAGGAGAUUCCAUAUCGGGGGAAUCAGGUCCUUCAACAAGGUUAAUAAAUGGCAAGCCUAUGGGCUGCCUCUUUUUCUGUGUAUGAGAAUUAACACUCAAAUUAAGAGUAGACUCAGCUUCUGGUAUCAGGCUGCAGGUGUUUGCAUUGAAGUCUUUCUUGGGAGUUACUGCCAAUGAACAGCAGGCUUUGCCAGGAUCUUUACUUGCGUUUGUUAGAGACACUGAAUAAGAUGACUCCUGGUCCGUAUGCUCAACAGAGGCCUGAAUCAUGGUUAAACUAGAAUUCCCAUCCUUUGAGAAGGAACCUGAACUAGCUGUUGUACCAUUGAAGCCCAUUCCCGGGGUUUCUUUAACAAGGGUCAUCUCUGGAUCUUCCUGGGAAGAUUCCUCCAAGAACCUACAAAUUCUCACCGAUUUAUCUUCAUAGAAGUCUAGCAUCUUGACAUAUUAGAAGAGAUGCUUAUAAAAUAACCCGUUAGUUACCCUUUAUGAGUGUAUGAAUAUUUCAUAUAUGACACGCAAAUAACACGAAGGAAUAGAAUCCCCUGAUGUUUCCGUUAAUAGUUAUUUUGCCUACAGGGCAUAAUUUGAACUUUUACUGCAGGACUAACAGGCCAUAAUCAGUAAUUAGCAAAAAGAAUAACAUUAUUGAGUCUGCUGGCUGUAGCUUCCUGAAGUUUCCUGAGAUUUACAUCUUAACCGUACAUUCGAUUCAGCAUCAUAUACCACAUAAUUCAUGGGUAAUACGACUUAGUAAAUGCUUGAAAUGAUGAGAUCUUUUGUAUGAUUUAUUGCAUAUUUUGCUAGUAAAAAUAGUACUGGAUUCUAAAAAACGCUGAACCACAAUAAUCGUUGUUAGUUCUGUUAAGCAACCAAGGUAGUAGAAAAUGGCUAGUUACUUACCUUGACUCUUUCGGAAAA